rnacentral:rRNA from 1 species
AUUGAACGCUGGCGGAAUGCUUUACACAUGCAAGUCGAGCGGCAGCGCGGGGCAACCUGGCGGCGAGCGGCGAACGGGUGAGUACUGUAUCGGAACGUGUCCUGUCGUGGGGGAUAGCCCGGUGAAAACCGGAUUAAUACCGCAUACGAUCGAGAGAUGAAAGUGGGGGACCGCAAGGCCUCACGCGAUAGGAGCGGCCGAUAUCUGAUUAGCUAGUUGGUGGGGUAAAGGCCCACCAAGGCUUCGAUCAGUAGCUGGUCUGAGAGGAUGAUCAGCCACACUGGGACUGAGACACGGCCCAGACUCCUACGGGAGGCAGCAGUGGGGAAUUUUGGACAAUGGGGGCAACCCUGAUCCAGCCAUUCCGCGUGAGUGAAGAAGGCCUUCGGGUUGUAAAGCUCUUUUGUCCGGGAAGAAACGGUUUCAACUAAUACUUGAGACUACUGACGGUACCGGAAGAAUAAGGACCGGCUAACUACGUGCCAGCCGCCGCGGUAACAC